rnacentral:rRNA from 1 species
AUUGAACGCUGGCGGCAGGCCUAACACAUGCAAGUCGAGCGAGCGGCGGACGGGUGAGUAAUGUAUGGGGAUCUGCCCGUUAGAGGGGGCUAACUCCUGGAAACGCUAGUUCAUACUGCGUACUAUCGGAUCUCCCCUAUGGGAUUAGUUAGUGGGUGGGGUAAUGGCUCACCAAGGCGACGAUCCCUAGCUGGUCUGAGAGGAUGAUCAGCCACACUGGGACUGAGACACGGCCCAGACUCCUACGGGAGGCAGCAGUGGGGAAUAUUGCACAAUGGGCGCAAGCCUGAUGCAGCCAUGCCGCGUGUAUGAAGAAGGCCUUCGGGUUGUAAAGUACUUUUAGCAGGGAAGCGGUAUCUGCAGAAUAAGCACCGGCUAACUACGUGCCAGCAGCCGCGGUAAUUC